CUUUACUAACUGUUACAAUAGUUGCAUUCUUUACAUCAUUUUUCAUCCAAAAUACAUAGCUCUCCAAAUCCUCACCUACAAUAAAUCUCUCUCUCUAUACAUAGGUGACUAAUGCAAAAGGAAAGCUACUAUACUACCACGGUCUCACUGGUCGGGCGCGACGCCUUUGCCGCGGUCCUCUCUCUGCAGCCCUGAACCUACCACUGGA
rnacentral:lncRNA from 1 species